rnacentral:misc_RNA from 1 species
CGUCAUUUCAACCCUUAAGCCUAGCUUAGUAUUGGGAAUUUACUUUCGAGUAAUUCCCCAAAUCCAACGGCGGAUCUGUGGUAUCCUCUGAGCGUAGUAAUUUUUAUCUCGCUUUUGUUAGGUGCUGCAGCUCCCAGCCGCUAAACCCCCAAUUUUUAAUGGUUGACCUCGGAUCAGGUAGGAAUACCCGCUGAACUUAA